rnacentral:rRNA from 1 species
AUGCUCGGCCAGCUCGGCCUCCGCGAGCCAGAGCCAGAGCGGCGCACCACGAACCACCAUCCCUCCCCGUCGUCGCGCAUGGAGCUCCACACCAUGGCCCUCUCGGAGACGAUCCACGAGAUGAGCGCGUUCCCCGACGCGCGGCACGAGCUCUACUCCUGGGAGUUCUACAAGGCCUACCUCCGGUCGCCCCGACCCAUCGACCCGCCGUCGGCGACGAGCGCGGUGCCUCUCCACGUGGCGCAGCUGGGGGCGGUGAUGAGGGGCCGCUACCCUUACCUCGCGGACGAGGUGGCGAGGCUGGCGAGGUCCAAGACGGCGGAGCAGCGUGCGGCGCUAGGCAGGAGGUUGCUGCAGAUGGACGCUGCCGCGCUGGGCUCGCUGGAAGAUCGGUUGAGGGAAGCCACGCGGGCCGGGAAGGAGGCCAUGCUGGCCAAGCUGCAGUCGGAGGUGCGCUACGCCAGGUCCAGGAUUCAGGCGGAGGCCAUGGUCGAGACCAUCAAGUCUGCCGCUCCCAACCAGAAAUGA